UGUGAGGAGAGCCGUCCCAAAUCAAUGGAGCAUACCUACACACUCUGAACAAAAACAAAAGAAAAACACAUCCUGCACUUUUAUCCACCGUCAUAACAAAACUGGCAUCGGGUCGGCAGCAGUUUUACUUUGUUUGUUUUUUUUUUAACUGAGAGAGGAAUGAACCACUCUGGAAAAUAACGUCGGCUGAGCUGCACUAAGAAAAAGAGCCACCGCCGCUGGAUGGUUGAGCUGUGUCUGACGAAGCUGACCUGCAGUUUGAAUCCACCCUCGAAGACCAUGCUGUCCCUCCUGCUGCCUGCAAUGCUAGCCGUCCAAGCUGUGGCUGUGAUGGAAGUGCAAGUCCCGGAGCAGCCAGUGGUGGCGCUGCACGGCAGGGACACAAUACUCAACUGCUCCUUCACCCACGCCAGCCCCUUCAACCUGUCUGAUCUGAGCGUCUUCUGGCAGCUGACAGACACCAAACGCAAUGUGCACGGGUACUGGGAGGGACGCGACCAGCUGGCGGACCAAGCCGAGAGGUUCGCCAACCGUACCAGCCUGUUCCCCGCCCAGCUGGGCCUGGGCAACGCAUCGCUCCUGCUGAGCAGGGUGGUGGUGGCUGAUGAAGGCAGCUACACCUGCUUCGUCAGGGUGCAAGACUAUAGCAGUGCUGCUUUGCUGCUGCAGGUGGCCGCCCCUUAUUCCAAGCCUGUGGUGACUUUAGAGCCUGAAUCCAACCUGCGGCCAGGUGAUGAGGUGGCCCUGACUUGUGUGGCCUACGGUGGUUUUCCUGAGGCUGGCGUGAUAUGGCAGGAUGGGGGCGGGCGCAACCUGACGGACAAUAUCACCACUUCAUUGGUAGCCAAUGAGGAAGGGCUGUUUGCCAUAACCAGCGUGCUGACAGUCGUGCUGGAGCCCAAUAGUACCUACAGCUGCCGACUGAUCAACCCGUUACUGGGCGAGGAGGGCUACGCCUUUGUAACAAUCACAGGUCAGAACAUCGCAUUCCCCCCGGUGGCUCUGUGGGUAACUGUUGGCCUGGCUGUGUGUCUGCUGGUGCUGCUCAUUGCCCUGGCUGCUGUCUGCCGCAGGAAGAUCAAGGAGAGCUGCGAGGAGGCCAGAAGAGAAGCUGAAGAGGCCAAGGAGCUGGAAGAAGAAGAGUCAAAGACAGCCAUGACACCACUGAAAAGUUAAGGCCAAGGGAAUAAGGUAAUGCUCUGGAGGACUCAGUGUCUCUGGAGGCUAUGGCAGUAGCAGUAACUAAUGACAUAAGGAGGACCAUGAUCAAAUGUGCAGAGAGUCGGGGGCCAGACGGCGGGUAGGAGAUGAGUCUGGCGGGUAAUCCCACUCCACCUAUCCAUCAACCUGGAGACUAUUUCCAGCGUCCCCUACAGAAUGUCAAAGCCUCGCUGAGCAGAAGAUGAGUCCAUCAUCUUCUUUCUAAGACUUUCCCUCGAGUUUCCAUCAAAACACAUAAACACAUCAUGUGCCAUUAUUUUCUAUUGGCCUCCCCUCCCUUUCUGUCAAUGGAGGGCCGCGGCAGUGAGCGAAUGCGGCUGAGUGGGUUGUGUUCUAUGCAAAAGAGAAGCUGUUUGAAAACUACAGGAUGUGACAGGAUCCUUUCUCUGUCGCUGACAUCAGUCUGUAUGGGCUGUGAUGGGGCAUGUGCCAGAGAUCUCCUGUCUAAUAGGAAGUGAGACACUUAAAGAGAUGACCCUGCCUCAAUUGCCAUCACUGUCUCUCUGCCAGAGAGAGAGCUUGGCUCUCCCAUUACUCCUGCACUUGCUAAUUAGCGUCUGUCGUUGGAGUAACUUGUACCUGUCAGUGUGUGCCGCUCUCCUAUAUUCAGUAACUUGAAGGAAUUGAAAUUGAAUGCCAGCUAAGCUCCAACAAACUGCAAAUGGUGCAUGGGAUACACCCUGAUUUUCUCACUGACCUGACAGCCUUAUAUGUACGAAAUUGUUUUUAAUGAACACAGACUAUCUCAGCUAGUUGCUACUGCUGGUGUAGAAUGUUUUAUCUCUCCCAGGCUAGGGCCUGUACAGGUUGUUUUAUUGCUUUUUUUUUUUUUUUAGGUACUUGAGCAAGUCCCCCAUGCCAUAUGUCCAUGUAUGAAUGCCAAAGCCAUUUGUGUCAGAUAACCUAGUGCCUAUUUACAUUAAAGAGAC